rnacentral:rRNA from 1 species
GGGGAAUAUUGCACAAUGGGGGAAACCCUGAUGCAGCCAUGCCGCGUGUGUGAAGAAGGCCUUCGGGUUGUAAAGCACUUUCAGUGGGGAGGAAGGGGCGAUGUCUAAUACGCAUUGUCAUUGACGUUACCCACAGAAGAAGCACCGGCUAACUCCGUGCCAGCAGCCGCGGUAAUACGGAGGGUGCAAGCGUUAAUCAGAAUAACUGGGCGUAAAGCGCACGCAGGCGGUUGGACAAGUCAGAUGUGAAAUCCCCGGGCUCAACCUGGGAACUGCAUUUGAAACUGUCCGACUAGAGUCUUGUAGAGGGGGGUAGAAUUCCAGGUGUAGCGGUGAAAUGCGUAGAGAUCUGGAGGAAUACCGGUGGCGAAGGCGGCCCCCUGGACAAAGACUGACGCUCAGGUGCGAAAGCGUGGGGAGCAAAC